rnacentral:rRNA from 1 species
UACGUAGGGUGCGAGCGUUAAUCGGAAUUACUGGGCGUAAAGCGUGCGCAGGCGGUUUUGUAAGCCAGAUGUGAAAUCCCCGGGCUUAACCUGGGAAUGGCAUUUGGGACUGCAAGGCUGGAGUUUGGCAGAGGAGACUGGAAUUCCCGGUGUAGCAGUGAAAUGCGUAGAUAUCGGGAGGAACACCUGCGGCGAAGGCGGGUUGCUGGGCUGACACUGACGCUGACAGCGCGAAAGCUAGGGGAGCGAACGGG